GCUCUGCCUGGCGGGAGAAGGUGGGAUCCUGCAUGGGGUUCUGCUGCCCUCGAACACCCCGGGCACGUUCAGGUGCUGAGGACUGCUGCAUACAGGCGUUGUGAAACGGGAGAGCGACCACCACACCCUCAAAACGGACUUAAAUACCAUCAGUGGGAACUCUGUAGACCCUGCGUGGCACCUAGCUGCCCACCAGCAAUAACUGCAGAAAUGGAGGUGUCCUGACCCUGAGACCUUGUUGUCUUGACCUGCAAUCCUGACCUGCAUUUCUCAAUUUAAUGUCCAAGUGCAUUAAACUGAAUGCCCCUCAUGGCAUCUGUCAGCUUCUGUCUAGCAAGAAACUCAGAGUUGGGCCUGUUCAGCAUUGAGAAGACACAACUGAGAGGGCACCUCAUCAAUGUCUAUCAGUAUCUGAUGGGAGGAUGUCAGGGAUGGAGCCAGGUUCUGCUUGGUGAUGCUGAGCAAUAGGACAAGAGACUAUGGGCAGAACCUGAUGCACAGGAAACUCCACCUGGAUAUGAGGAAGAAAUUCUCUACUGUGCAGGUGACCAUGCACUGGAAUGGGUUGCCCAGAGAGGUUAUGGAGUCUCCCUUACUGGAGAUAUUCAAGAAUCUUCUGGAUGCAAUCCUGUGACACGUGGUCUAGGAUGGCCCUGCUUGAGCAGGAAGGUUGGACCAAACGACCCACUGUGUUCCCUUCCAACCUGACCCGUUCUGUGAUUCUGUGAAUAUAUUGAGGUGUGGAAAUACAUAGGUCAGAAAAAGAACACUAAACACUAUACUGACAUAUGAAGGUAAAAGUUGCACCCUUUAACAGUUGAAAUCUAUUGGAACCACAUACACUAAAAUACCUCAGCCCCAAUAAAAUUUUGUGAAUAGUUACACAUCCCUCUAAUGUCCCUGAAAAUAUCAAUAUAGCUUUUAAAUCUUAGUCCUACUGGAUGUAUAAUUUGUCCUGGAACCAAAUUUUUCUUUUACCAUUUCAUUAUAGUUAUUGCUUUAAUGUUGCAUAAAAGGAUAAAGAGUGUUACAUAUCUUCCUCUAUUCUUUGAAUGCUUACCCCAUAGCUGUGUUUUUUUCAUUAGUGCCUUCUUAUUCUUGUUUCAGGAGUUGAGCAAAUUGUGUCCAGUUGUUUUACUUCCCUAAAAUAAUUAUACAAGUUUUAUGGCUCAUUAAUUUACAUGAAGCCCAUUAUUUCUAGUGAAUCUUUAUUCCUAUUAACAGUUAGGGAACCGUUUCUAAAUUUUAACUUCCAAACAUGGAAUUUAUGGUGUUCAAAAAUACACUGAAUUUUUUCGGUCCAAGGAGGUAAAAGGUUAAAAAAGGUGAUGUACCCAGAGAUCUUAAGUUAUUUUUUUAACAUACAAGUUAUUUUUUUAACAUACUCUGAUGUAACAUUCAGCCUCCUAUCUGGGAGUUAAUUAUCUCGGGGCAUAAAGACUUAGAUAAAGCAGGCAAUGUGUAAUCUAUUAGUUGGGGCGUUCGGUCAGGAAUUUGCUCUCACAUUCAGGAGCUCAUCUGCGUUACUGACAGUGGGGUUCUUCCCCACUAGGUGGUGAUACAGGAGCAGCUCCGGGUUCUCUCUUUGAAUGGAAUCCCCACUCAUGAAUAGUCUCUAAGACCUAAGAGAACAAUUAAAAGUAAUUUCAAGCAAACUUCUUUCCUGUUUUGUAGAAAGCAAGGUCUCCAGUAAGAUUAUAAAGACGGACAAACUUUACAAAGAGAGAGGAAGUAUUUGAGUCACUCAGUGAAGAUAAAUAUGUGUGGUGAUAACAGUAAUAUGCAAAACCUAUUAGGACAGUUUGGAGGAAGAUCUGGUUUAGAAAUUUGACAUUCUAAAUGGUGGCAGUCAUAAUCUUUUGUCCAACUCAAAAAGAGUGGUUUAUUUUAGCACAAAGCAACCCAUCAAUCCACACGCCAUGAAUUAUUCUGUGGAGGACCUUAGUUGUAUCAGUUCUGUGGAAUUGCUUUUCAUGUGUAGAAACAGCAGCAAAAGUUGAAGCUGUGAAUAUAUUUAGAAACACAAGUAGUUGUGUCAAAAAUACAUUAUAUAAACAUUAGGCUACUGGAUGUUAUAGAGCUAUGAGAAAGUAAUGCUGCAUAUGAAAAGUAACUGGUAGCAAUUCAAAGCCUCCCAUUUCUUUUUCACUUGUGAAACUUCAGUUUCUUUAAAAUAAACAGGCAAAAUCCUCUUCAGUUGAGCAGUUUUGUAAGUGUGGACUGCUUACAAAAGAAUUGCUCCACAGCUCUUGCUCCAACUCCAAAUUGUAGUUUCCAUGUUUCUCCCUCUGAUCAUGUUAUCUCAGUGCUUACUCUCAAGGCCUGCUACUUCUAAAAGGUGUGAGUUAUCUGAGAUGCCAUGAAACUAUAAGAUGUUGAAAAUAGGAGUGUUGAAUAAUAAAGUUAAUUUGUAUAGCUUUGUUUGUUAAUCAUUAGCAAAAAUUUUUUACACAAAGGCUUACUUAGAUUAGUUAAACAAGUCAAAAAAUAGCCUCAUUCCCUUGACUGAAAAGUUUAAAUUGGGCUUUGCAGUUUUCCAUGUCAGCAACCAAUUUUAUUUUCUGAAAUACUAAGUUGUAAAAACGUCCUGAUGCAAAUUGUUGCUAUUAGAAAUAGGCAGGAAGUGAGACAUUUUAAGGAAUAAGAGAUUUUCCAGUAUGGCAUCUUUUGUUAUGAGUAUGAUUAUUAAAAUCAGAUAUCAGCACAUCCUGGCUGAACCUUCUCAGUUCAGACUUUCCUUGACUUUCUUGACAGGUACCUUGAUAUUGUCCGUCAUUCCAUCCUACUGUAUCCCUUGUGAUUGUUCAAAUGUUCUCUUCACAACACUGAUAGUUAUCUCAUUUUUACAGGCAGUAAAAAGCCUUUUUCUUGAGCAAUCUGUGAGCUUUUUCCUCUACUACUAUUGCCCUGAGUAGGACCAGGGAAUUAUAUCUUCAGCCUGUAUUGUAGAAACACCAAUAGAGUGCAUUAGUGGGUAAAAAAUAAACAAAUUAAACAAAAAUCCCACAGACAUAUUUCAUUAAGGUUGUGGCAUGUAUUUGCUGGAAUUUCUACAUACAAUUUUGUUUUCCUUCUUACCUUGACUGAUAAAAGUACUUGGAUACCAGCAAUUGCAAAAUGAUCCUCUCCACCUUCCUACUCUGGAGGGUCAUUUUUCUAAUGUCCUAUCUGGUUCCCACAGUCAUUUCUGCUUCUAAUCCAAUUUCUGUCUUCAUUUUUGCAACCUACCUUAGUCUUGCAUUUGAAAAAGAGAAUUUCAAGAGACACCUAGACACCCUUCAUUAAAAACAAAUUAAAUUAAUGUUUCCCAGUCUCACUGUUGAAGUAAGGGAUUUUUGGAAUCACAGAUAAUCUGGACUUGAAACAGACAGAUUUAGCUAAGAAAAAUAGUAAAAAAUAAAAAAAAAGAAAGUGUGUCUAGAUUGUACAGCAGGUAGGUUAACAAAAUGGUAAUGCAACAACAUUAAAAAUAGCUAGUGCCGACCAAAGAAGUGAUUUUUCCAUCUUUUAGUUAUGCUUACCACCUGCUGCCAAAUUUAUUUGUGCCAGGAUCUAGCUGACAUUUGAAAGUAUGUUGAGUAUAAUGUAAGAAAUGGUAUAGGAGCAUUCUGUACAUUAAGAGCGAGGGAGAGUUGGAUCAGGGAAGAUCACACGUAAUAGAAAAAUUAAGAGCUGAUGUGUAACUAGAGUGGUCCACAAGAAUUGUGGAAUGUGAUUUGUCUCUAAAAAACCAACUUUAUGCUUUCUUCUUUACUAGUAUUUAUCCAUGGCUCCAUUAUUUGCAUGUUAUAUUGUCAUUUUUAUCAAUUUCCCUGUAGAGAACAUCAGGCUUUCCAGGCUGCAGUUCCAGGUAUACUGGGCAAAUUUUUAUAACAGUAAAUUUAUUUGAUGAUGGCUAUAUUCUGAUACAGGAUUUAUGGAAGAUUUACAGUUAAGGAAAGAAAAAUUAUUUACAGUUUUAUUUUAUAAUAAAGCAGGCAACAUCAUUUUAAUUAAAGUAAUGAAAGGAAUGACACAAAAUUUACAUAGAAAUGCACUGAGAACCAAGACUUAGUCAAAGGCAUUUAGUAGCAAACGUACUAAUUGUGAUAUUUGGAGUUGUGGUUAUGUAUUAUGUAUGCUCUGCUACAGUGUGAUUUGAGUCCUGAAUUUUAAGACUGGCAAAUGUGUGAUGUACCUUCUUUAUGUAUUCUUAAAAAUUCCAUAAAUAAAACUGUGAAUUGAUUGUUCUCAUACAGUGAGAACAAUCUGUUUUCCAUCUACCUGACUAUUUGCAUGAAUGAACAAAUUUCUUUAUCAUG